rnacentral:rRNA from 1 species
GCGAAAGCCCCGCAAGGGGCAAGUAGAGUGGCAAACGGGUGAGUAACACGUGGGUGACCUGCCUUCGAGCGGGGGAUAACGUCCCGAAAGGGACGCUAAUACCGCAUAACAUCCUGCCUUUGAAGAGGUGGAGAUCAAAGCUGGGGAUCGCAAGACCCGGCACUUGAAGAGGGGCCCGCGUCUGAUUAGCUAGUUGGUGGGGUAAUGGCCUACCAAGGCAACGAUCAGUAUCCGGCCUGAGAGGGCGGACGGACACACUGGGACUGAGACACGGCCCAGACUCCUACGGGAGGCAGCAGUGGGGAAUUGUUCGCAAUGGGCGCAAGCCUGACGACGCAACGCCGCGUGGAGGAUGAAGAUUUUCGGAUCGUAAACUCCUGUCGAACGGGACGAACAGAUUGCGGGUUAACAGCCCGUAGUCCUGACGGUACCGUUAAAGGAAACCCCGGCUAACUCCGUGCCAGCAGCCGCGGUAAUACGGGGGGGGUAAGCGUUGUUCGGAAUUACUGGGCGUAAAGGGCUCGUAGGCGGCCAACUAAGUCAGACGUGAAAUCCCUCAGCUUAACUGGGGAACUGCGUCUGAUACUGGAUGGCUUGGAUUUGGGAGAGGGAUGCGGAAUUCCAGGUGUAGCGGUGAAAUGCGUAGAUAUCUGGAGGAACACCGGUGGCGAAGGCGGCAUCCUGGACCAAUAUUGACGCUGAGGAGCGAAAGCUAGGGGAGCAAACGGG